rnacentral:rRNA from 1 species
UGCAGUCGACGGCAGCGCGGACUUCGGUCUGGCGGCGAGUGGCGAACGGGUGAGUAAUGCAUCGGAACGUGCCCAGUAGCGGGGGAUAACUACGCGAAAGCGUAGCUAAUACCGCAUACGCCCUACGGGGGAAAGGGGGGGAUCGCAAGACCUCUCACUAUUGGAGCGGCCGAUGUCGGAUUAGCUAGUUGGUGGGGUAAAGGCCUACCAAGGCGACGAUCCGUAGCUGGUUUGAGAGGACGACCAGCCACACUGGGACUGAGACACGGCCCAGACUCCUACGGGAGGCAGCAGUGGGGAAUUUUGGACAAUGGGGGCAACCCUGAUCCAGCCAUGCCGCGUGUGCGAAGAAGGCCUUCGGGUUGUAAAGCACUUUUGGCAGGAAAGAAACGGCGCCGGCUAAUAUCUGGCGUAACUGACGGUACCUGCAGAAUAAGCACCGGCUAACUACGUGCCAGCAGCCGCGGUAAUACGUAGGGUGCAAGCGUUAAUCGGAAUUACUGGGCGUAAAGCGUGCGCAGGCGGUUCGGAAAGAAAGAUGUGAAAUCCCAGGGCUCAACCUUGGAACUGCAUUUUUAACUCCCGAACUAGAGUGUGUCAGAGGGGGGUGGAAUUCCACGUGUAGCAGUGAAAUGCGUAGAUAUGUGGAGGAACACCGAUGGCGAAGGCAGCCCCCUGGGAUAACACUGACGCUCAUGCACGAAAGCGUGGGGAGCAAACAGGAUUAGAUACCCUGGUAGUCCACGCCCUAAACGAUGUCAACUAGCUGUUGGGUUCUUCGGAGCUUGGUAGCGCAGCUAACGCGUGAAGUUGACCGCCUGGGGAGUACGGUCGCAAGAUUAAAACUCAAAGGAAUUGACGGGGACCCGCACAAGCGGUGGAUGAUGUGGAUUAAUUCGAUGCAACGCGAAAAACCUUACCUACCCUUGACAUGUCUGGAAUCCCGAAGAGAUUUGGGAGUGCUCGAAAGAGAACCGGAACACAGGUGCUGCAUGGCCGUCGUCAGCUCGUGUCGUGAGAUGUUGGGUUAAGUCCCGCAACGAGCGCAACCCUUGUCAUUAGUUGCUACGAAGGGCACUCUAAUGAGACUGCCGGUGACAACCGGAGGAA